rnacentral:rRNA from 1 species
GAUGAACGCUGGCGGCGUGCCUAAUACAUGCAAGUCGAGCGAACAGAUGAGGAGCUUGCUCCUCUGACGUUAGCGGCGGACGGGUGAGUAACACGUGGAUAACCUACCUAUAAGACUGGGAUAACUUCGGGAAACCGGAGCUAAUACCGGAUAAUAUAUUGAACCGCAUGGUUCAAUAGUGAAAGACGGUUUUGUUGUCACUUAUAGAUGGAUCCGCGCCGCAUUAGCUAGUUGGUAAGGUAACGGCUUACCAAGGCAACGAUGCGUAGCCGACCUGAGAGGGUGAUCGGCCACACUGGAACUGAGACACGGUCCAGACUCCUACGGGAGGCAGCAGUAGGGAAUCUUCCGCAAUGGGCGAAAGCCUGACGGAGCAACGCCGCGUGAGUGAUGAAGGUCUUCGGAUCGUAAAGCUCUGUUAUUAGGGAAGAACAAAUGUGUAAGUAACUAUGCACGUCUUGACGGUACCUAAUCAGAAAGCCACGGCUAACUACGUG